AGAAUCAACGCUGGCGGCGUGCCUAACACAUGCAAGUCGCACGAGAAAGGGGAGCAAUCCCUGAGUACAGUGGCGCACGGGUGAGUAACACGUGAAUUAUCUACCUCCGAGUGGGGAAUAACCAAAAGAAAUUUGGCUAAUACCGCAUAACACUUACGAGUCAAAGCAGCAAUGCGCUUGGAGAGGAGUUCGCGGCAGAUUAGCUAGUUGGCGGGGUAAUGGCCCACCAAGGCGAUGAUCUGUA
rnacentral:rRNA from 1 species